rnacentral:tRNA from 1 species
GGGGGUAUAGCUCAGCAGCAGAGCACAUACUUCACGUGCAGAGUUCUGGGUUCAAUCCCCAGCACCUCCA